rnacentral:rRNA from 1 species
GACGAAGGGGGCUAGCGUUGUUCGGAAUUACUGGGCGUAAAGCGCGUGUAGGCGGUUGUCCAAGUUGGAUGUGAAAGCCUUGAGCUUAACUCAAGAAAUGCAUUCAGGACUGGAUGACUAGAGGACCGGAGAGGAUAGUGGAAUUCCCAGUGUAGUGGUGAAAUACGUAGAGAUUGGGAAGAACACCAGUGGCGAAGGCGGCCUUCUGGACAGUGACUGACGCUGAGACGCGAAAGCGUGGGGAGCAAACAGG